GGUCACCUCCAAAUGUUUUGUUUUUCCUCCCUUUUUCUUCUUCUCUUCUACCCUAUCCUAAUCUAUUCUUUCUACCAAACAUGAUUCGAACAGCAGCAGAAAUCUCUCUCGAAUCCUUUCUUCUUCUUUCUACCAGUUUCAUCUUCAUCAAUUUCACACCCUAAAUCUCCAUUAAUCUUUACUCAAUUUUGACUUUAGAAUGCAGAGUUUGGAUUUGGUUGAUUGGAUAUCCAAUCAUCUCUAACCUGUAACCCUAAAUUUGAAAUUGGGUGAAUUGAUUUAACCAAAUCUACCAUCGCCAACUUAGUCCUCUGCUUUCUACACCACUCCCAUAAAAUCACCAUUAACGGUGUUGAACCUAGAGUGUAUGUCAAUGGAGUUUACUCAAGGUUGAGGAGUUCAGGUGAGGGUUACAUGACUUUCUGACUGGAUUUCUUAAUCUCAGCUUACAAAUUAAAGGGAAAGGGGCUUUUUUCAUUGUAUGCAGUUUCUAGCAUGCCUUCUCGGAGAUUUACUUCAUUUUUAAAUGUUGUUAGUGCUUGAUAGAAACUCUAAUGAUUAUGGGUGUCACAAAUCUGUGAAGAAGACUUAUUUUGGUGAAUUGAUAUCUCCUCGCCUUUUUGUUCUUGUUGUUAAUUUAUAUUGCAAUUAACCUGACAGUACAGAUCUCUCAGUAUUACCAGGAGAAUGUUUUAACUGGGCUUUCGACCAAUGAUGUGUCCUUCCGUUGUUUCUGUGUGGGAGAGAAUGUUAGUGAUUUGUAAUGCUCCUCGAAAUUGCUAUGAUGUGUCUUGUGCGACAGUUGUUACGUUUGCUUUGUUAUAAGAUUUGUUACAAAGUGGCGACAUUGAUGACCCAUUACUGCUUUAAAAUUUCAGUCUGAGGCUCCACCUUUUAAAACAGAACAUCAUGAGCCAAGACACCUAGAUUGUCACCAAAGCUGGAGGCAAGUCCAUCAUUUUUAAUGGUUGUUUGUUUUUGGUGGAUGUAUGGGUUGCUUUAUUUUGGCGGCAGAUUUGGAUCAUAAAGUAAUGUUUCAUUUUGGUAAUUUAUUAGAAUUGAAUCACGUUUUGAAGUGGAAAACUAUUUGCUGGCAUGUAUUAGUUUACUUUAGGGACUGAGUCUAUUGUUCAACAAUUUGGGUUGUAUAUGACUAUUGUAUGAGAGGUUAUACCAUGAUAGUGCAUGAAAUGUAGAUUCGAAACAGGCUGUUAAUCUAUUGUUGGAGAAGUUUUUGGUCAAGUGUGAAAGAACUGUGAGCAUCAAAUGUUCCUUGCGAAAUUGCAGACCAAAGUACGGGACCAAGAGGCCUUAUUAUGGUGCUUGAGGGGUUUGUUAAAGAUAGAGAGGAAGAAUUUGAGGCAACUGAAAAUCUGAAAUUAGAUUUAGCAAUGAUCGGUGGCUCCAUGAAGAAGAUAUCACAGUUGGAAUGGACAGAAGAGAAACAUGUUUAUAUAAAUUCUAUCCAUAAAGGGUUUGAAAUUAGAGGCGCAUCGGGGACUUGGGGUUUCUUUCAAUUACAACUUCUUUUUAAACUUUUAUCAUCAAAUGUAUACCCAGUUCAUUGUUUCUCCUUUGUUAAUGAAGGUUAUAUUACAUGAUUAUCAUAUCAUCAAAUGAAAGUCUGAAUUUGAUUGUUGUUCUA